CAAAGGGAAGCGCAAGUGGGACAACAACGAAGACAAUAUCAAUCAGACUAGAAAGAAAGUGUGGCAAGAAAAGGAACGGGCCGAACAGUUUAUUCAACCAAGGUACGAGGCACAGACUAACCUCGAGCCAACUAGAGGUAACCAAGGUCAGAGAGGAAUUUCACCUUGCCCAAAUUGCGGUAAGAUGCAUAGGAGUGUCUGUCGGGCUGAAACUAACGGUUGUUACAAUUGUGGCCAAAAGGGUCACUACUCCACGCAAUGCCCCAACAGACAACGAGGUUCAGCAAUUGAGAACAACCACACCCCCUUGCCAGCAAUACGUGGACACUUGCGAAAUCAGCCUCAAUCACAUCAGUGAAAAUCUUAUGGAGACACCGCAGACAAGAGAAGCUACGCGGGAACUUGAAGACAAGAUGAAGGAAAAAUACCCCGAACUGUUUAGCAGAGAUAUGCAAAUUUCGGGACGAAAUUUUUGUUAAGAGGGGUAGUAUGUAAUGACCCGCAUUUUUAUUUUUAUUUAAUAUGGUAUCGCGAUAAUUAAUAUCACAUCUUUUAGUAAAUGAAACCCAGUUGCCAGUUAUAUAUGAAUCCAGUUUAUGGUCCUGAUUUUUUUUUCAGAGACGGAGUUAUUAUUUAGCUUUAUACUUUUAUAACGUAUGAGAAAAACGUGACGAGAAUUAUUGAGCCAUUCAAUAAUUUAUUAUCCAGUUUAAUAACUGACUUAGCAAAGUCAAGUUAUUAAUUUAUAUGCGAUAGAAAUAUUAUUUCUAUUAUUUACUUGGAAGUCGUGAUCUAAUUCCGAAUCAUAAGAACGAGUUAAAUUAGAUAUUUAAUUCGUAGAGAGCUAUAACGAAGCGUCGUUAUUUAGUAGAAACCAAUAUUAGUUUUACAAAUACUUGAUUAAUUAAUAUUAAUCAAGCUAGAUGAUUUUUUUUAUUAGUAACUUCAAUACUUUACAAUCAUCAUUAUUCUUUCCACUCCCUAAUGUCUCCUACACUAUCAACAUACCAUAGCAUAAUUUAGACCUCAAGCAUGAAGCAUGUAUAUACGUUGACCACAUGAGUAACAUCAUAAGCCUCUUUCAUACAUAGCAUAAUCAAUCAAGAAGACAACCAAAUCAAUUAGCAAAAGCAAAAGCUCUUCAAUCACCAACUCCACUCCACCAACUCCACUCAAUUAUUCAUUCCCUUUAUACUAUCAGCCACCACCCUUUGCUCCCCACCCAACAAAUGCAAUCAGCCAACAAAUACAGUUUUCACUCUCAACUCAUCUCAUCCAAAAGAGAAUCAAAGAAUAGCCCAGCUCAUUCAGCCGAAGCUCACAAGGUAAGGCUGGGCUUCAAUGAUUUCAUUCCAUUUGAUUAGCACCUGCAUUAACACAAGAAUCAUUCAUUUCCUCUUUGCCAGGAACCUUAAGUUCAGUUACUCCAGUUCAACAAACAACAAUAUUUAACCAACAACACAUUUCAAGGUCAAGCGCGAGAGUAAGAACUACACAAGGAGUUAGAGUACCUUAGCAAAACUUUGCUAUCAGGUUGAGCUGUGAUGGGCGAUGAAGUGUUGCUGAGUGGAGUUUUUGUCGAACUUAAAGUAGGCUCAGAAAGGAUACAUGUCUUCAUACAUGUAUCUCAGUUAUGCAUUCCGCUGUAAACACCGAUUAUUUCAGUUACGCCUUCCGUUGCAAACUCUGAUAAUGUUUUAGCCAAGCCCUAACGAUGCCUUUUUCCUUUUAAGGAAUAUAAUGCGUAUACAAGUUCUUUGAGUACCCUUUUUAUGCGAACUAUGCCUUUUUCCUUUUUAAGGAAUAUUUCACACGUAUUCA